GGCAAUAUAGCAAAAUAUCAGCACAGGCAUGUAGAAACUAGAAAGCCAUAUACUCAAAGCCCAAUUAAUGAAGCAAAAUUGGUGAGUAUUUCUAUGCUGCACUUGGAUUCAACCACUAUCUAUGAAGUUUACAGUGAAGAAUUCAAGUAGAGUCUUAAAUGCAAACAAGCAAUGAGAAUUAUAUAUGCUUAGAUUGUCUACACAAGCCUCCUCCUGUUAGCUUCUGUUUCUAUAGCUAAAUCAACACCAAGCCAAAAAUCUUCGUCAGCAACAAGGAAUGGUAUUUGCAGAUAAAAUGCCAUCAUAGCCUUCUAUUAUAUAUACAUGCCUUCACUACAGAGGAAAAUCAACUGAAUUUAUAAAACAUCGACAUGCAAAACAUAUGUAAAAAUAAAAGGACAAAAGAUUUAUAUAGACCACGGUGACAGAGCAUUCCUCACAAAAUUUGCAUCGACCAUAUGAACAAAUGUGCCCCUCAAAAAAUCCCCUCCAUCCAUCCCCGCCUUCCCAUCUAACACUUAAGCAAGCAAAUUUGAUACAUUCCUUCAGCCUCUUUGUAGUUUAAGAGAUCGCCAUGAAAAUUGCCAGUCACUGGUGUGCAAGUCCCUUUAUAUUGUUGCAGAAAUACACUUCUCAGUACCUGUCGCAGGAGACUUGCCAUGUGGAACAACCUGGUCCUCACUUGAAGCACCGGCUGCGUGAAUUUUCAACCUUUUUGAGCUGCAUGUACUGCUUAUCUUCUCAUUUUUAAUAUCUUCGUCCACAAAAUUUUGAUCCGACACCUCUUUGUUGCUGUCAACCAAGCAAUGACAACAUGAAUAGCAGCUACAUAGAUAAGAAUGCUUCAAAGAAGCUGAUGUUCCACUUGCCACCGCCUUCUUCCUUCUCAAGUUGGUUGCUUGACUUUGCAAUAUGGCAUUUUCUUGGAUAGCAACUUGGGAUUUUCUUGCAGACCUAAAGUGCUGGAUCCAAGGAUUUAUCAGAAGACCAUGGUGUUCAUUUGCCAUAUUUACAUCUGAAUCAGGCUUUUGAAAAUUGAUUUUCUUCCA
rnacentral:misc_RNA from 1 species